rnacentral:rRNA from 1 species
GAUGAACGCUGGCGGCGUGCCUAAUACAUGCAAGUCGAGCGAACAGACGAGGAGCUUGCUCCUCUGACGUUAGCGGCGGACGGGUGAGUAACACGUGGAUAACCUACCUAUAAGACUGGUAUAACUUCGGGAAACCGGAGCUAAUACCGGAUAAUAUAUUGAACCGUAUGGUUCAAUAGUGAAAGACGGUUUUGCUGUCACUUAUAGAUGGAUCCGCGCCGCAUUAGCUAGUUGGUAAGGUAACGGCUUACCAAGGCAACGAUGCGUAGCCGACCUGAGAGGGUGAUCGGCCACACUGGAACUGAGACACGGUCCAGACUCCUACGGGAGGCAGCAGAAGGGAAUCUUCCGCAAUGGGCGAAAGCCUGACGGAGCAACGCCGCGUGAGUGAUGAAGGUCUUCGGAUCGUAAAACUCUGUUAUUAGGGAAGAACAAAUGUGUAAGUAACUGUGCACGUCUUGACGGUACCUAAUCAGAAAGCCACGGCUAACUACGUG